CUGGUCUUUUCACUUUGGCUUAUAUCGAUUUACUUUUAAUUUGUUUUGGUUUCAAUUUGAAAAUAUCUAAGACCUAAAAAUAAUAUUGCAAUCAAGAUUUAUCAUUUUAGUACUUGUCACACCCUAAAUCCAUCGUCUAGAUUGGCCAAACAACACAACUGCAUGAAAACUAAAACGAUGCUCUAAAGAUUAUACAAAGCUUUUAGUAUG
rnacentral:lncRNA from 1 species